rnacentral:rRNA from 1 species
GAUGAACGCUGGCGGCAUGCCUAAGACAUGCAAGUCGUACGAGGUGGCCCAAUGAAGAAAGAGUGCUUGCACAAUUUUGGAUUUGGUUUUCCACCUAGUGGCGGACGGGUGAGUAACACGUGGGUGACCUGCCUUCGAGACUGGGAUAACUACUGGAAACGGUAGCUAAUACCGGAUGACAUACAGUUUCGUUUCUGUAUUGAAAGGCGCUUCAAAGCGCUGCUCGAAGAUGGGCCUGCGGCGUAUUAGCUAGUUGGUGAGGUAAUGGCUCACCAAGGCAACGAUGCGUAGCCGGACUGAGAGGUUGAACGGCCACAUUGGGACUGAGACACGGCCCAAACUCCUACGGGAGGCAGCAGUGGGGAAUAUUGGGCAAUGGGCGAAAGCCUGACCCAGCAACGCCGCGUGAAGGAAGAA